AGGAACUUCCUGUCAUUCAGACGGGUUAUAGUUAUUAUGUUUACUGUUAUUUUUAAAGAACGUCUCUCAUUGUCUUCAUUCACUGAGCUGUCAUUCGGGGACUGUUGUCAGUGAGUCUGGGAUCAGCUUACCCUCAGAGGUCAGAGGUCAUCCUUCCUUCAGGGAGCUCCUCAUCCUGACCAUCUCUGGGUCUUCUAUCUUCAGCUCAGUCCAACAGAACAAACUCCACACAGAACCAAGAGGAGGUGCAGCUGGGACCAACCAAGACUGAUUGGAGCAGAGGAAGGGAGACUCUUUCAAAAUAAAACAGGAAGUGAAGCAUGAAGGAGGUUUGAUGACGGGGUUUUCUCUCUGGAGGCGUGGGAGCAGAGCGGUCCGAUCAGAACCAGAACCCUCCGUGAGGUUCUGCUUCCACUGCUGUUUAAGAGAAUCUUCUCUGAAAAGUUUCAUGUUUGUUGAUAUUAAAACUGGAAGCUGAGUUUAAAAGUUUUAUUUUGUAAAAGUCAAUAUCAAUCACGAUCUGCUCAUCAAACAUCAAACCAAAACUGAUUUAAACCCAGAGGAGCUGAUGUCCUCCAGCAGAAGAACGGUCUCUGUGAACGACAGCAGAACUUCACCAGAACCUUCUAUGAAUCCGGACAGUCGGGUCACUCUGAACCAGCUCCUCACAUGUCCCUGCAGCCAGGAGGUCCGCUUCUGUCUGAGCGCAGAAGUUCUGCUGAUGCCAGACCACUGAAGAGGAUUCAUAGAAACAGACGGACUUUGAAGAACUCCACGAACAUCCCUGAGGACCGACAUGGCUGUGGGUUUGGGUCGGUCCAGGAACCAGACAAUCCUCCUCAGAACUCGAUCCAUCACCACCGGUCCUGAUCCUGAAGCAGACCCAAAGUCCGAUUCAGAGAAAAAAGACCAGCAGAACUUCCAAACAGACUGGACCCUGGAGAGUCUCCAGACAGUAAUCAGGGACAGAAAAACACCAAGAAAACAAGACGAGACAUAAAAGAAGAGUUUCAAACAUCAAAGAGAAGAACAAAAAACAUGAAAGACUGGAGUUUUUCUUUGAAGUGUUUCUGUUUUCUUCUUCUGAUGCUGUUUGUCGUCUUUUUCAGACUCUUGAUGUUUGAUUAAAGUUUAAAAACAAA